CUUGAGGACACACCAGGACAAAAGGAUAAGAACGCCCAUCUCUAUAACCCGAAUCCUGGGCACAAGCCUCCCUUCAAUGUAUCGGAUCCUACUGCCACAGGCCAGAUGGCAAUCUAUAUGAAUGAGCAACACCUGCCCAGCUCAGCCGAUCCAGCGUCCGAGUAUGAGAGCAUGAUCCCGCAGAGGAGUCAGGUUUCAGGACAGAGAAAAGCAGUUUUUUCUGGUCCACAGGACUGCUCAGCCACAGAUCAGCAGGACACCUACGUCACUAUGUACUCAGUCACACCCUGUCCCCCCAUGAUUUGUCAUCAUGCAAAGUGUGGGAGAAAAGCUGCAGGCUGAAGCCCUUCCUAUUCACUGGAUAUUUAGCAGCUCAUCCUUAUUUUCCUACUGUUCCAUGAAACUUCCAGACUGGCCUUCCCUCUGCCCUCCUUCAGCUGAGCAAUCUGACAGCAGCAAGAUGUGGUGGGGAGGUCCCACUUCCAGCACGAUUGUCUUCAGAAAUGUACUGGCUACUACAAAGUACUUCUCCUUUCCUGAACAUUAGCUUGAAACUGCACAAAGUCUUGG
rnacentral:lncRNA from 1 species